GUCGCCGUCCACAACCGAUCAUCAACUUUCUCUGCCUUAUUUUACACCAUCGAUCUUCUUUUCUCUCUCCUUUCCGCCUAUUUCUCACCAGUCACCGCCAACAUCUUGCUCUUCAUUCCGCUGCUUAUUACGCCGGUAACAGCUCUACUUCAAACCCAAUGGAGAAACCACAAAGUGAGACCCCGAAAUCUCUUUUCCAUUUUCGACCUCAUCAUAAAUCGCAUCUCAAAAGCGAAACUUAUUAUACUUUGGUGCGAAUUCUAUCGCAAUGCCAUAACCAUCCGGAACUCUGUGAACUCUCCCGAAUUGUACCUCAGGAGCUAAAGUCAGAUAAUCAUAGCAAUGAACCAGGAAAAGCAUCUGAGGUUGUCACGGGCAUGGAUCAAAUUGAUUCCCUGACUCAAAAUAUUGUGUUGGGUAAUGAGAAUUUUGACCCGGCUGGCUUCCGAGAUGGUUUAUGUGACACAAAGGCAGUGAUCGAUGAGAUAGAGAAUUUCAUGAGAAUAGAAGAAGAUGAGGAUCCAUCCAAACAAAGGGACUUGCCAGUGGCAGUCAAUGAUGAUACUAAUGAAACUGGUUUACAAGAUAAAGGAUUUGGGCAGCUGCAACGAUUGCUAAUGGAUGAAUUAGAGGACGUAAUGAAAGGAAAUAAAGAAGUUGUUCAUGAUAAUGUUUGUAAUUUUGCAACCACAUCAUUGGAUGAGAGCCAGAAUGGUAGUGCUGUGGGUACAUUUUCUAAUAACCAAGAAGCACAUUUGGAUCUUCAACCAAUUUUUAUGGAGGGAUGUGGGGGUGUUGGUCGGCUACAUAUUGACAAAGAACACUCAACUCAAAAUACUUUUGCAACCAUAGAUUCAUCUUUGGAUAAAAUUGUAACUUAUGAAGUUUCAAAAUUGAGUGAUAACCAUGAAGAUAAAAGUUCCUCAAUGAGAAAUAAUCAGUUGGAAGCCAGUCAUGAGAUGCGUCAAAAAGAGAUGGAAUCAGGGAAAUCAGUUUGUACUAUUGGUGCAGUGGGUUCUUCUGAUCAUAUGAUUGAAGAUGGUGAAAUGGAAGAAGGAGAAAUUUCUGGUGAGUUUCAGGUCUGUGGCAGAUUAGUUGAUACGCCUUCUGAAGAUGUUGUAGGGCCACAAGAGCAGAAGCAACUUUCUGAAGAUGUUACAGAUAGAAAUAAGUUCCCUCUCAAUGACAAGAAAGAAGCGAAUAAAAAGGAUUCUGGGUCCAGUUUCAUUACAUUGGAGAUGGUUGAUAAUAUGAUUGAUACGAGAAAAGUGGAAACCAAAGAUGUAGGAGAUAAGAUGGCCAGUAAACGCAAAGUUAUUGCUUAUGGAGAUCCUAUAUUAGUUGAAGAGCUAGGUGGGUAUAAGAAACAAAAGAAAAUUUGUGAAACUAAGGAACUAAAGAAAGGAAGUGGAGUGAAGGGAAAAAAGAAAGGUAAGAAUUCAGCACCGUAUGCCAAAAGUGGAGAUCAAAUUGCAAUUGUAAGCCAAGAAAACGCAUGUAAAGAAAAGCUGAAGCAAGAUGCUGGUCUAAGGAAUAAGAAAAAGCGAGGACCCCCUUCUGAGGAAAGGAAAGCAAAGAAAAAGGAAAAAAAACGGAAGAAACGAGCACAAAAGAAUCGAGAGCUUGGUGUCAAGAGGCUGAAACUACGUCCAGUACAGAAUCCAAAACCUUUAGUAUUCUGUCGUCAUUACAUUAAAGGGAGAUGCCAGGAGGGUGAAAAUUGCAAAUUUUCACAUGAUACAAUACCGCUGACAAAAUCAAAGAACACAGAAAUAGGGAUUCUGCCUAGCAUACAGGAUUUUUCAACAGAAGCACCUAUAAAUAAAGAAUUUGGAGGGAAGGAGAAAGGUGUAAACAGAUAGUCAAUGAAUGCUCAAAAGUGUAAGAAUGGCUGAAGGUUGGAGAUAUUCACAGUGAAGAAAGUGAUAUCCUUGAGAAGAUGACCUUACUAUCCCCCAAAAUGUCAUGAUAUCCUUAACAACCAUUCAUUCUCCAUGCAAUACACCUCCCUACAUUUGCUCCUUAAGUUGUCAAAAAAACUCAACUGUUAUAAUACCAUUCGACAUUCACGAAUGUGGAUUAAAAUACAGAUGAAAUCUCUUACUUAUGUAUAAUGUGAUUGUGGAUAUUUUUGCUAUCUUUUUCAGCUUUGCUCAGCCUUUAUCUAUAAGAAUGCCAGUGAAAGCUUUGCACCUUAAAAAUGAAUUGGAAAAGAAAAAGAAAACACUUUUAUGUGAAGACCAACACACCACAUAUUCUGCCAGAGGGAAGUUAUUUUUCUUUACCCUCUCCAUAGUUAGAAGUGAGAUUUAAUUUUACUAAUUACUACUAAAUUCUCUUUUAUGCUUGACCUUGAGUGUAUCUCAUCUCCAAAAUACAUCCCUGUACACCAUAAGACUGGUGCUGACUCUAUAUUUUCAUCUAUAAUUUCACAGAAUGAUAUCCAACUCCUGUUCAAUGCCUCUUAUUUCCAACCCAUAUAACUUUCUCCUGUUGCUCUCUUUUCUGCAGCAAUUGAGAAUAAAUCAUCAAUUCUUUGGACUGCUGCAGAAAAGAGGGCAAUAGGAAUUUUUAGCUGGGAACAAUCUAGCGAUGCAUCCUUCAAAGGAAGCUUCCCAUGCAAUAAUCUGCCAUUUACUUUGCACUGUCCAUCAUAGGCUAAUAGCUAUCUUUUACAGAAUUUCCUUACCUAUUGAUUGUUGAUUCAGUUGUUAUUGUUGUUGCUAAGUGUUUGUUGUCAUCCAUUCUGUUGUUGCAGCCAUGUUGUCAUUUUGCACGCCACUCGUGCUUGAAGGGGGACGAUUGUCCAUUUGACCACCAGCUCUCCAAGUAUCCAUGUACUAAUUAUGUAUCAACUGGUUCUUGCAGCAGGGGUGAGGAUUGCAUGUUUUCACACAAGUUACCACUCAAGGAAGAUCUUCCAUCCGCAUCAAAUGUUAGCACUCCUGACCUGAAACCUCAAUCCUUGCCAGGCACUUCUAAUUCUAAAAAGCAACUUGAUAGUGAUGGAACUUCCCAUCACAAUGCCAAAGCCUCUCCUGACACUGUGGGAGUUAGUUCUUGCAAAAAUACAGAGCAUAAUGUGGCCAAGAGUGUUGUGAAUCCACCUGUGCUGGUACCCAAAGGCAUUACCUUUCUCUCUGCUGGCAAAUCAUCUGUUGCUGAAUCCAGUCAUUCUGUGCCAGGCAGUUCAUCUCUGACAAGGAAUGAGGAGUUCAAAGUUGGAAAUAAGACAGAUAGAAGUGCGUCAGGCUCAAUUCAAAAUUCAAAUGAGAUUCCGCGUGGUACUCCAGCAGCUGUGCCACCCAAGGGAAUAAAUUUCCUCUCAUUUGGCAAAGCACCAUGGGAAUUUUCCAGUGUUAAGAAAUUAACUAGCAAUAAUGGUGCCAAGUUAUCUUUAUCAAACAAUGUUGAUUUGACUAAGCAGUCGUCCUCACCUCUACAUACAAGUAAUAGCAUCCAAGUUGGUAAAGAAUCAAGGCAAAGUGUGUCAAAUACACCGCCUUGGUUGAAUAAGAUGCUGCAGGUAAGUAAAUUUGCAGCAGUGCCUCUGAAAUCAAACAUUUUGUCAUCUGGGGAAUCGUCAACAGAUGGUUCUAGAAGUAAUUCUCUGGGUAGCUCGUCUUCCAAUUCAGCUGCAUAUGUUGAUAGAUCUGUUCAAGCAAGCGCAGUUGCACCUGAGAAACCAAGUGCAAUCCCACCAGGGUUGUCAGCUUCUGCACUUGGUUUAGGUCCAUCUGCAGAUCACUUAGAACAUCCGUGGUUAAAAAACACACCAAAGUCAGCUCAGAAGGCAUUUUUAUCUACUCUUGCAUUUGCAGCAAAGGUUGAAUCUGAAAUGAAGAUAAAGCAAUCCAGCAUUGGUACUCUUGCUGUCAGUAGCAGGGCCAUUAAGGAAACUGGGGAUAGUGUGCAACCUUAGAUUCACAUAACGACUCAGCAAAAGCAUAAAAAUUUUGGAUUUCUAAUCUAGUGUUGCUGUUUAUGUGAAGUGGCAAAUAGAUUGUUGUUGGGAACGUGAUUUAAGAUGGAGUUAGCAUGAGAAUUUUGGAGCUAAUUUUGAAGCUUUUAGCUCUCCAAAAUGCCACACCAAAGAGAGAGAGAGUGAGAGACCAUUCACUGGUCAGUGCUAGCAAUUAUUAGUUCACUCUUUACCCUUCUCCCUUCCUCCAGCUGCUCUCUCUCUUUCAGUUUUACUUGAUGAGGUACAGUUUGCACAACUCUAACCACACCCUUCUUUCUUUUUCUACCUUUUACAAUUGGUUUUCAUUUAAUAGCGAAAAAUUUAGCCAAUAUUCUUGGAAAAAAAAUUAUGUGCUGGUGGUUAAUAGUGGCUGUACCAUAGAGGAGCCGAUGGAGGUGAAGGAGUACAUUUUUUGGCUAAAAAACAGUUUCGGUAAAUCUCUUUGAACACACAUUCUAAAGAUUUGGCUAGCUGCAGGCUUGGUAGAUUCUCCAGGAGGUAAUAGUCUGUAAAAUCCUAGCAUUUCUGGACAAGAUGAACUUAUCGACCCAAUAUCCAUUGGCCUAGAUUCAACUUGGAUAGGCAUUCGUCAUGUUAAAGUUGAUCAAUGCCAUGUGAUAGUUACUCUCUUGUGAUUACAGUUUCUGAGUAGCAUUCUUGGAAGGCUUUUGUCAAAUAGAAUUUUACAUCUUAUUAUUUGUCAAUUCAAGGGCCUCUUGUCUAGCAAGUGACAAUAAAAUGUAAAUUUAGAAUUCAGAAAAGUUUUCUAUUUGGCGUUUUUAAGGCAAGGGAUAGCUUGUGUGCCAUUGUCUAGCAAACUCCAUUUUGCAACUGAUAUAUGAGGGAAACAUCAUUGUGGUACUCGCAUUUGUUUCUCGGUAAUGUAUGAGUCAAGCCUUCACAUUUUCCUGCACUGAGCUACAAUGAUGCUGAUCAAUUUAAUUGCUGCUCUGGAUUUUAGGAGAGUGUUUUAGGCCAGCACAAGGGUUAAGCAACAGUAUCGCACAUGACCCUCCUGCAAUAGACUGGGACAAUGCGAGCUUUAUACUCUGGACAACGCGAGCUUUAUACCCUGCAAAUUGGAGGAACGUUGGGGGGACAAAUCAAAAAACUUUCGGUUCUGUUUUUGUAUAGUUUGGAGGGCAAUAAUUGGUGGCAGUAACUCUUAGUGCUGGGGCAUCCCUUCUGCACCAGGGUGAACCUGUGCACGGUAAUUGAAGUUCUGCAAACUGGUUAUUAAAGAAAGUAUUUUGUUAUUUUUUUGUUCUUCUUUUAUAAAUCUCACAAAUUUAAUAUGAACAUUUGCUUGACUCAACAUCCAGUUAAAAAUCAUUCAGGUGGUGGCUAGAUGAUCAUAUCUACCCAUAUGCUUUAUUGAUAUAUGUUUUUCCAUUCUACUGUUUGUGAUGUCUAAAAAUUUAAAUAUGAACUCCAAUGACCUGCUGCG
rnacentral:misc_RNA from 1 species